UGGGGAAUAUUGCACAAUGGGCGCAAGCCUGAUGCAGCCAUGCCGCGUGUAUGAAGAAGGCCUUCGGGUUGUAAAGUACUUUCAGCGGGGAGGAAGGCGAUAAGGUUAAUAACCUUGUCGAUUGACGUUACCCGCAGAAGAAGCACUGGCUAACUCCGUGCCAGCAGCCGCGGUAAUACGGAGGGUGCAAGCGUUAAUCGGAAUUACUGGGCGUAAAGCGCACGCAGGCGGUCUGUCAAGUCGGAUGUGAAAUCCCCGGGCUCAACCUGGGAACUGCAUUCGAAACUGGCAGGCUAGAGUCUUGUAGAGGGGGGUAGAAUUCCAGGUGUAGCGGUGAAAUGCGUAGAGAUCUGGAGGAAUACCGGUGGCGAAGGCGGCCCCCUGGACAAAGACUGACGCUCAGGUGCGAAAGCGUGGGGAGCAAACA
rnacentral:rRNA from 1 species